UAAUACGUAGGGUGCGAGCGUUAAUCGGAAAUACUGGGCGUAAAGCGUGCGCAGGCGGUUGUGUAAGACAGGUGUGAAAUCCCCGGGCUUAACCUGGGAACUGCGCUUGUGACUGCACGGCUAGAGUACGGCAGAGGGGGGUGGAAUUCCACGUGUAGCAGUGAAAUGCGUAGAUAUGUGGAGGAACACCGAUGGCGAAGGCAGCCCCCUGGGCCGAUACUGACGCUCAUGCACGAAAGCGUGGGGAGCAAACAGG
rnacentral:rRNA from 1 species